rnacentral:rRNA from 1 species
UAGGGAAUCUUCCGCAAUGGGCGAAAGCUUGACGGAGCAACGCCGCGUGAGUGAUGAAGGUCUUCGGAUCGUAAAACUCUGUUAUUAGGGAAGAACAAAUGUGUAAGUAACUAUGCACGUCUUGACGGUACCUAAUCAGAAAGCCACGGCUAACUACGUGCCAGCAGCCGCGGUAAUACGUAGGUGGCAAGCGUUAUCCGGAAUUAUUGGGCGUAAAGCGCGCGUAGGCGGUUUUUUAAGUCUGAUGUGAAAGCCCACGGCUCAACCGUGGAGGGUCAUUGGAAACUGGAAAACUUGAGUGCAGAAGAGGAAAGUGGAAUUCCAUGUGUAGCGGUGAAAUGCGCAGAGAUAUGGAGGAACACCAGUGGCGAAGGCGACUUUCUGGUCUGUAACUGACGCUGAUGUGCGAAAGCGUGGAGAUCAAACAGG